rnacentral:misc_RNA from 1 species
CAUUAUCAUUAUAAAUUCAAGAUGGCCGCCGCUACAAAAUGGCGGAUAAUUUAUGUUUUAUUAAUCCCAUCAAUAUGGGUAUCAAAUGAAAGGGCUCAACAAGCAGAAUACAAUACACUAUAAAAAAUUGAAAUCCAAGAUGGCGGCCGCUACAAAAUGGCGGAUAACGUAGGUUUUAUCAAUCCCAUCAAUAUGGGUAUCAAAUGAAAGUGCUCAACCAGUAUAAUCAAUGUACUAUAUAAAAUUAAAAU